rnacentral:rRNA from 1 species
UACGAAGGGGGCUAGCGUUGCUCGGAAUCACUGGGCGUAAAGCGCACGUAGGCGGCUUUCUAAGUCAGGGGUGAAAUCCUGGAGCUCAACUCCAGAACUGCCUUUGAUACUGGAGAGCUUGAGUCCGGGAGAGGUGAGUGGAACUCCGAGUGUAGAGGUGAAAUUCGUAGAUAUUCGGUGGAACACCAGUGGCGAAGGCGACUCGCUGGACUGAUACUGACGCUGAGGUGCGAAAGCGUGGGGAGCAAACAGG